GCAGAGAGGGAGGGAAUAGACCCCAAAUUCGGCCCAAGCGGGGUUAUGCAAAUAGCCCUGCUGUAUGCAAAUACGCGCAAAGCACUCUGGGGCGGAGCGGUACCGAGGCUCCUCACGGAGCCGUUCUGAAUCAAUAACUCCCGCCGGGUUUCACAGUCACGUUCGGCUGUGCGCACCUGGGAAUGUGACACUUUCUGCCGUGGCACAUCGGUGGUUUGGACCUAAAUUAGUUAACAUUGCUGACCUGCGCCGAGAGCGGGUGGCUGAAGCUACUUUUGUUUUUCAGAAUCACAGAAUCGGGCUGGAAGGUCCGUCUGGAGAUCAAAGCCCCCGGCCAAGGCAGGGUUACCCGGAGCAGGUGACACCGGAACGCGUCCAGAGCCCAGCAGGGCCAGACCGGACCGCGCUGAAGCUCCAGCCCAGCCCACGGGUUGUCCUUGCUCUCAACCGUCGCACUCUUCCCGAUUUUCUUCAAUGCAAUGAAAUUGACAAAAUACUUCAUAUAAUUCUUGCUACUUUUUAAUUAGCUAUUUCAUUGUCUUUUACUGCUGUUUUAUAUUAAGUACUUUUGGGGGGAGGCAUUUACACUAUGGAAAAAUUUUUAAGGCAGAUGUGCAGAAUUUGGACGUUAUAUUUUCAAGUUAUCUUCCAACUAACUACUCACUUGGAAAAUAAGGGGAGAAGGGCAGUGUUUUGGGAUAAAUUGCACAAUUUAAAUAGAUAUUCCCUCUGCUUCACUGACAGAAACCCUCAAUAGUUAUCUUUCACUUCCAGAGCAGCUAAGGACAUCUUACACCUUGGCUCCCCUCCUCCAAACCUGUCCUACAAGUCACUUGUUUACACAGCAACAGGAGCAAGCCUCUCUGUUCAACAGCUCCUCCUCCUCCUCUGGCCAGGUAACCCUUGAGAAAAACACAGAACAUCUUCAAAUCAAGUUAUUAUUUAGUAGAAAUCCAGGUCCCAACUGCUCAAGAGAACAUAUGGUAAUUUUUGCUCAGUUCAUUAAAUUUUCACACAACCUAGUGAUGAAAAAAUUUCCUUGUCUGUGUCAGAGCUGAUUUUCAUCCUUUUCUCUGGAUCAGGGCUCACACAAAGAUCUUUUCCUGUGUUUUAAGUGUCUCUGUCCAGUAACCUCAGCACAGCCAGCCCCUCUCACAGGCUGGCUUCAAACACACCCCAGCACAAGAGCUUCAAAGCCACAGGGCUUGUCUGCCUUGCAAGGAAUCAAUAUAUUACCUGACCAGUUUAGAGAGCUAAUUACCAUUCAUCAUUUCAUUUCACAGACUCUGAAGUGCAGCUGUAAUCCAAAAGUCCCAUCAAGUGCUGAUACAGUAUUGGUGCCACACAUGAUGGGCCCCAGACAAACCCUCUGGGUGAAACUAGGUGUACUUAAAGGGUUAAACUUUUACAUCAUGCAUUGACACAGAACCAGUGCAGAAUUGAGUACUGAGAUUUAUUCACAAUUCAUGGUCAUGCUGCACUGGAAAACAAAGCACCAGAAUUUGGAUACCUCAACAUCAUCCAGGUAUAACCCAGCUGAGACUGCUGCAUUUGGGUAUCUGCAUUCCUCUGGGGGACAGCACAGCCCAGGGCUGCCCAGGCCCUUGGCCACAGGACACACACAGGUGCUGUGGCUGAGGGAGCCCUCCUGCAGCAGGCAAAGGGACUUCACAACACGCUGGAGCAGCCUCAGAGGAAAGUACCAUAACCCCAGAAAUUCAGCAACUGACAUGCUCAAGUCAAGAACAUCCCACGACAAUUUUAUUGAUUCAUUUACCAAUUCCUUUCCCACAAUCUCUCCAGUUUAUCAUUUUCUUAAAAUCCUUUUAUCUCAGCACAAAAUUCAAGGGGGAGGUAAAGCUGUAGCCAUGUCAGGAGCUUUUCCUGUUGCUGAAGUGACAGUAGCAAUAGGAAUUAUUAUGGCAUCAAGAAAUUCAAUCAGGAAAUUAAAUAGUGCUCUAAUUUCAGAAGUGUGGAUAUUGUCAACAUUAAUGGACUUUCCAAGUGCAGAUUCAAAAGCCAGAAUCAAACCUUAGGGAAAUAUUUCUCUGUAUAUGAAGCUGCAACAACGUUUUCUGAUAUAUGUUAAAAUUUCAAUGAAAGCAGGUGAAUGGGGAAAGAUUAAAAGGAAAGAAAAGUUCUAUCCUGUAAAACUGGCACUUGAAAGAGUCCUUUAAAAAACUAAAACAUUUUACUCCAAAAAAACUUAACUAAAACAUUUUACUCUUAAAAAACAAAAGCUGACCAAGAAAAAAAAACCAAACCAAAAAGACAAGUCUCAGUUACUUAGGUCACUAAUGCUAAUACAUUCUUUGUAGCCACUUGUCAUGGUUUUGCAUAGGAGACAUUUAGGGAAGUGAUGGAAAGGUUUGUUAUGCAAAACCAUAACACCACUACAAGCUCAGUUAGAUGCCUGCCUUGUCUUUAAAAAAGAAUUCUGCAGCAGACAAAUCAUCAACAGCUCUGCACUGUGACUACCUCAAUAGGUUAAAACCCUUGAGCAGAUGGAAGAAAUGGUGGAUGCAGCUGACACAGGUUAUUCUGGACACUGAGCCAGCCAUUUCCCUUGCAGGGGGAGCAGAGCAGAUUGAUUUCAGCCACUGCCCAGCCCAUUCCUGGGCUCCCCCAGCAGCACAGGCAGUGAGGCCCUCCAGUGCAGCAGGCAAGCACUGGCCAAAGCACCACCCAGCCCUGGCAGGAUCCAUCACCUUGAACACACAGCUCAGGGCUCUGCUUUCAGAACAACAAGGCAGCUCUUGUGUAGUUUACUGAAGAUUUCCUCAGAAAAGCAAACUGGUUUUGUACCAUUGCACCCAGUAAAUGCACAUAAAAAAAUAAGCACACUGUACAAAGAGCAGCAGAGAUAUAAUUUAAACAUGCAUCCAGCUACAAACCAUAUAUACAGAGAAACAGCCUAUACAAACAGAACAGGACCAUUUAUUACAUUACAAUUCUGGUGGAGUUUUUGGAGGAAAUCACAGCAGAUGAACAAUGUCAGACUGAAGGAGGUGGAUGUUGGUUCUGAAAGUAAUCUGGUUUGAAAUGUCACACAACACCCCCACCUUUCUCCAGCACACACACCUAGGACACUUCCAGCUACACACAGCUCUUCCCACAACUCCUGGACUCCCUUCCUGUACAGAGGUAGAUUUCUGUCGAUGUUCUGAUAUUGCACCACAGUAAAUAUGGUUCUUAUCACAAGGAACAACUUGCAAAGGCUAAUUUCUAUAAUUCAGGGGCAUAAUCUCAUUGUGGGCAUUCAGGCAGUGCAGUAAAUAAAUUCAUUUGCACUUGAAAAAAAACCUCCCUCCAAGUGCAAUUGUUUGUUAUUUAGGUGGAGGUCCAAUGGAAAGCUGCAACUUUUAACAGCUCCAUACCAAGAGAGCUGUUUGCUGUCUCUCUCCUUUUCAGC